AACCUCCGCAAUGUGAGAAAUCGCGACGGGGGGAUCCCAAGUGCCAUUCUUAACGGGAUGGCUUUUCAUUAGUGUAAAAAGCUUUUGGAAUAAGAGCUGGGCAAGACCGGUGCCAGCCGCCGCGGUAACACCGGCAGCUCUAGUGGUAGCAAUUUUUAUUGGGCCUAAAGCGUCCGUAGCCGGUUUAAUAAGUCUCUGGUGAAAUCCUGUAGCUUAACUGUGGGAAUUGCUGGAGAUACUAUUAGACUUGAGACCGGGAGAGGUUAGAGGUACUCCCAGGGUAGAGGUGAAAUUCUGUAAUCCUGGGAGGACCGCCUGUUGCGAAGGCGUCUAACUGGAACGGUUCUGACGGUGAGGGACGAAAGUUAGGGGCGCGAACCGGAUUAGAUACCCGGGUAGUCCUAACUGUAAACGAUGCGGACUUGGUGUUGGGGUGGCUUUGAGCUGCUCCAGUGCCGAAGGGAAGCUGUUAAGUCCGCCGCCUGGGAAGUACGGUCGCAAGACUGAAACUUAAAAGGAUU
rnacentral:rRNA from 1 species